UACGAAGGGAGCUAGCGUUGUUCGGAAUCACUGGGCGUAAGGCGCACGCAGGCGGAUUGAUAAGUCAGGGGGUGAAAUCCCGGAGCUCAACUUCGGAAUUGCCUUUGAUACUGUCAAUCUCGAGUCCGGGAGAGGUGAGUGGAAUUCCUAGUGUAGAGGUGAAAUUCGUAGAUAUUAGGAAGAACACCAGUGGCGAAGGCGGCUCACUGGCCCGGUACUGACGCUCAUGUGCGAAAGCGUGGGGAGCAAACAGG
rnacentral:rRNA from 1 species